AAGGAAGAACUGUGAAACCCUGUAGAGGAGAGAGGAAAGCUAAGACCACCGAAAGUUGCUAACUAUUCGUGUCUAUGCUCCUGCAGAGGAAGAGAUCUUGUUGAAUUAUUAUUAUUGUUUGGUUUUGGACCCGGGCCAAGGGACUGAAGUUCAUAUUUUACACAUCAAAGCAGACCUGGCCUCCAGGUUCUCCCAGCAUUCCUACCUGGCGUACCCUGCCCCUAACCGUGACCUUUCCAGCCCAGAGUUGCCCUUCCCCCAGAGGCUCUUCCCUAUAUAAUCUAGACAUUUUGCACGAUCUCUUCCCCCCCCUCUUCUCCUCUUUUUCCUACUUCUUCUCAUUCUCUUCUCUCUAUGCAUGACCUUUCUCCUCCCUCCACCCAUGUCCCCACUGCAAAUCCCUUGACUUCAAUCCUUGAGGCCACUGAACCCACCCAAGUGCAGCUUCCCAAAAAAUUUGCCUUUAAUAUAAUCUCAUCUGGCUUAAACAAAGUUAUUGU